AAGUCGUAACAAGGUUUCCGUAGGUGAACCUGCGGAAGGAUCAUUCAUGAUUCAGGCUUCAAGCCUGCUCAUUUUUACCAGUGAAACAUUUUUUUCUGGGCGGCGGUUAAACCUUAAAUAACCAGGUUUAGGCCAGGUUUCCGCCCAGAAGUACCAUGCCUGUAGGAACGUCUCUACUACAGGAAUAGGAGCACACGUUACCUGAACGUCUCUAGGGUAACGAACACCAGGAUGAACGUCUCUAAUCCUGGGAUAAAGCUUAACUGUAUUCUGCUUUUAACCUAUUUGGUACUUUCAACCUGUGUCUAGCAUUGAUAUUUUUAAUUCUAGACCAGGUUAGGUAGUUAAUUAGCCUGAACGACUAUAAGGCUUAAUUAUCUGCUCCCAGGACGAACGUCUCUAGUCCUGGUUCAUUUACCUAAUAUCAUCAUGUCUAAGGUCUCGAUAAAAGUAAAACUUUUAGCAACGGAUCUCUAGGCUCUCAUUUCGAUGAAGAACGCAGCAAAAUGCGAUAAGUAGUGUGAAUUGCUGAUUCUCGAGAAUCAUUGAAUCUUUGAACGCCAAGUGCACUUCCUGGUAUUCCAGGGAGUAUGCCUGUUUCAGUGUCUAUAAAUUUUCACCCUAGUGUGGUUAUGGGUUCGCCUAGCUUAGGCUUGCCUAAAAUAGUAGGAUCUAUAGAUUUAUCUCCUUACCUUUACUGGUGGAAUUUUCCUUACAUCAAGCUACCUUAAGCAGCCUGCUUAUAUUUAGUUUUACGACCUGAAAUCAAGCAGAGUACCCGCUGAACUUAAGCAUAUUAAUAAGCGGAGGAAAAGAAACUAACAAGGAUUCCCUUAGUAGCGGCGAGCGAAACGGGAAUAGUUCAAAUUUAAAAUCAACCUCGUGUUGAAUUGUAGUUUGUAGAGGUGUUUUCACCAGGUGUGGUUGGUUCAAGUCCCUUGGAACAGGGCGCCAGAGAGGGUGAUAGCCCCUUAAUUCCAAUUUAUCCUGCCUUGAUACACUUUCAAAGAGUCGGGUUGUUUGGGAAUGCAACCCUAAAUGGGUGGUAAAUUUCAUCUAAAGCUAAAUAUAAAUGAGAGCCCGAUAGCAAACAAGUACCGUGAGGGAAAGAUGAAAAGAACUUUGAAAAGAGAGUUCAAUAGUACGUGAAAUUGCUAAAAGGGAAACACUGGAAACCAGUGUAGUUAAGGCCUAUUCAACCUGGCAGUUUGCCUGGUGUAUUUGGGGCUAACAUGUCAACAUCAUUUUUGGAGGUUAGAAAAUUACAAAGGCAGGUAGUUGGGCAACCAGCUUUAAGCCUAGUAUCAUCUGACCCCUGGGAGUGAGGCCUGCAAUGGAAAUUUGGGAUUCUAGGGUCCUUGUGAUUAUGCUAGGUGUUUCUGCCUGCAGAAAUGUCUGGUGUGGUUGCCUGUCGCUCUGGAUUACCACAUCCAUUACGGAUGUUGACAAAAUGGUUUUCAAUGACC
rnacentral:rRNA from 1 species